rnacentral:rRNA from 1 species
ACUCCUACGGGAGGCAGCAGUGGGGAAUUGUUCACAAUGGGCGCAAGCCUGAUGACGCAACGCCGCGUGGAGGAUGAAGGUCUUCGGAUUGUAAACUCCUGUUGCUCGGGACGAAAAGCCUCGACCUAAUACGUCGAGGUCUGACGGUACCGAGUGAGGAAGCCCCGGCUAACUCUGUGCCAGCAGCCGCGGUAAUACAGAGGGGGCAAGCGUUGUUCGGAAUUACUGGGCGUAAAGGGCGCGUAGGCGGCCCGCUAAGUCGAACGUGAAAUCCCCGAGCUCAACUCGGGAACUGCGUCCGAUACUGGUGGGCUUGAAUCCGGGAGAGGGAUGCGGAAUUCCAGGUGUAGCGGUGAAAUGCGUAGAUAUCUGGAGGAACACCGGUGGCGAAGGCGGCAUCCUGGACCGGCAUUGACGCUGAGGCGCGAAAGCUAGGGGAGCAAACGGGAUUAGAUACCCCGGUAGUCCUAGCCCUAAACGAUGAAUGCUUGGUGUGGCGGGUAUCGAUCCCUGCCGUGCCGAAGCUAACG